CUCUCAGGCCACCCCUAAAAUUUCACAACAAUUGGCCCAUAGGGCCCAUAUCUCCUCAAACGUUUGACAUAGGAAGAUGAAAUUUGCUCUGCUUUCUUGGUCAUGAUUGUGUGUGUGUGUGUUUUUUCUGGUACACCACCAGAAAAAUCAAGACACGGGAGCCUGUGUUUGUUCUCAGCUGCGAUUAUCCUGUUUUAAAUUGGCUGUGGUCCCUUUAAAUGUAUUUCACUGGAUUGACCUUCAGAGUGCGCCAUUCACGAGCACCAAACACAACGCUACCGUGAGAGGAUUAGCGACUCGCGUGACAUUGAAGAACCAUUAGGAGCUAAACUUUAGUCCAUUAAGUUUAUUUAGUGGUUGGUGGCGCAUGCCUGCUGGGUCAAUCACACAGUCGGCACUUGAAGACCUCAUGUUUGAGAACAGUCUGUGUCCACCCACUUGCAAUACUUAUUAUAGAGAAUGUAGACACCACAGUAAAGUCCAUUUAAUUCAUUAUUUCAUAUUUGCCUGUAAUUCAUGCAUAAGGAUGCUCUGUUGUGACAAAUGUGACAAAAUGCCCGCAUUAUCUAUUGGUAAAACAAAAAAAAUAUAAGGCCAUUCUUCAUCCAAUACCAAUAUGAAAGGCUGUUGUUUGGAAAUGAGUGCAUGUGAAAUAAAGGUUUUCUUAUAGUUUCCACAAAAGGAAUGCUAUUUAACCGUUUGUACAUCCUAGCUAAAUGUCUGAUGAAAAUGCUGACCUUUACUUAGGUCAAUCCACAUCUUGUAUCUACCUCAAAAUGUUAGUUUGAUGCCCACUGCAUCACCAGUCCAAUCUCACAGUUAUUUUAAAUAGAUUAAAAUCCCUAACAUCAGCUGUGUUCUCCUACAGAAUCAUUUUUUUCGCAGACAGAGUGCAUCAUGACCCAAAUGUUCCUGCACAGAACACAGGGACUGAUUAUUUUUUGUAAAGUAGUUGUAUGUAAAGGUAACAUGGUUAUCAUUCUUCUAUUUAACAGAUUAUUAGGCUGCAUGUAAAUGUAACAGAAUAGAGUAAUCCAAGUAUGGCCAAUCUAAAUGAAAUUUUCAUUUGUUUGAAAAUUUUUUGAUAAUUUGCAUAAUAUGCAAAACCUACUUUAGUCCUGGGAUUUUUGGCAUAUCUUCACACAUAUGGUGUCAAAUUACUCAGCAAAGUGUGAGCCUCAAUACUUUAUAUUAUUUAUACAAUACUUUAAAUUAUCUUGACAUUUUAAACAAUAUGGCCACAAUACAUCAAUCAAUAUUAAGGAGGUGGAGCUGGAUUACUCAAAUAGUUGUAAUUCAUAAUUGGUAAUAUGGAUUUGAACCAAACUUGAAGGUACAAUACAGUUCAGUACAAGGAUCUGAGGACGUCUGCAAAGAUUGGGGUGUGGUCAUUGAUAGGGGGCAGAGUUAAGUCCUAAUAGAUGUUUCUCAGGAACCAAAAGUCCAGUUGAUGGAUGGAUUUUUAAUCAUCACUGAAAUAUUCAAAAAAUAUGACCAGUUUCAGCCAAUCAGCUUUCAAUGGGCAUUUUAAACAAAUAGCAUUGAGCUAUCAUCACAAAACUUGAUAAGUAUAUUUAUGUAUGGUGUCUUUUAUGGUUCUGUGUUUCUUGGCAAGAACUGGCAACUGGGGGCACUACGAGUAUUAUGAGUAGCGUCUGGACCCCACAGGUCGCCGCUUGCAGCUAGAUUCUUCUUCUUCUGAUUCUCCACCAAAACAAAUUGUGUUGACCAAACCAUAAGUCAUAGAGAUGUGAAACUUGGUGAAGAGGUAUUGCUCCUUCCUGCUACUCAGGCAAGCAUGAUCAGCCUUAUGGUGGUGCUGUAGCACAGAGUUUUACAUUAUGAGGCCUAAAAACAAAAUUCUUUUUUCUUUUGAUUCCUUGGGGUUUUGCAGAAACUGCAAUUUAAGGUAAUUUGCAUAAUGAAACUUGAAAGUCAUAUACAGGAUAAGAGUCUGAGCUCAUAAAUAAAGUUGGGGGUAUAAUCAUACAUAGCAGGUGGAGCUAAGGUCAGAUAACUGUUUCUCAGGAACCUUAAGUCUGAGUGGAAAUUUAGAAUAGUUCAUCUAUGUAUUAUUUUGAUAAUGAUCUUAUUAGUUAAAAACAUGGCCACCAUCGGCUAAUCAGGGUUAAGCAUGAAUAUAACAGGGUUAACAUUGAGCUAUUUGUCACAAAACUUGAAAGGUGGGUUCCUGCUGGGACCCACUUGUAAAUGAAGCAUUUUGGCCAUUGGGGGUGCUAUUCAUGUUUUUGCAAAUUAAAAGAAGUAUAUCUCUUGUAAAAUAAGGUGUACCAUAAAUCUUCUUCAUUAUGUUGAUUCUGUGGCUGAAAUGAGUCAAAUUUGCUUUUUUGGACCACAUGUGAUGAUUCUCCCCUGUGUCUUAUUACCACCAGUCUACUUACAUGUGUCUUUGUGCUUUCAGUAACUGCCAUAACCAGAGAGAGCAGCAUAGCAGGCGGAGUGUGCAAGACACACGCAAACACACACAAGGAGCAUGAACUUGGAUUCUGAACUUGAAUAGGGUGAAAGCCACAAGCUAGUCAUAGCCCCUUUCUGUUGGCUUGUCAUUUUUGGUUGAGUUCAUGAAAGUGUGCUGAAAAGCGCAGUGAAAAUAAACGCAAGCGCAGAGCUCUGCUGAAAUUC